ensembl:lncRNA ATP6V0D1-DT ATP6V0D1 divergent transcript
AGCUUUCCCCGGUUUGCUGCACUUGACGCUGCAGGGCGGGCGGGGUAAAGAAGGGAGCGAGCCCUUCUCAAGCUUGGAAAGUUUCCAGACUGCUGGGCCAGCCUCCUCCCCAGAGGGAAACUGAGGUCCGAUUGAGGUUUCUCCAAGACCGCCCACUCCUGCUCCUGUCCCCAAACCCCUUUCUGCCUAGGGUUCCUGGAAGCCAAGGAAACAGAACGAACUGUUCCCUGGGUGGGCGAGCCACUGCAGAGUACAAAGCUUUCAGGCCGCCUGCCUCAUUAGCACUAAUGGCUGCUCCCUUCCGCCCUGUGUCGUCAGGACUGUCUAUGCCUGGUCUCAUCAGCACAAGGCUGGGGUAAGGACUGCCCUUUUGUGGAGAUGGCAGGACAUACAGGACCCUGCUGCCCCUGCCUUCCCUCACCCCACUGCAGAGCUGUUUAUCACACACGUGUCCAUCUGGGAAAGGAAUGCAGGCUGAAUCAGCUUUGAGAGGAUCGCAAGGCCCCAGUGCACAAACUGGGUUGGCACAAGGCAGUGGAAAAAAGAUGAAGGGGGCCAGGUAUGGUGGCUCACACCUGUAAUUCCAGCAUUUUGAGAGGCCAAGGUGGGAGGAUCACAAGGCCAGGGGUUUAAGACCAGCCUGGGUAUCAUGGUGAGACCCCGUUGCUACAAAAAAUAAAAAAAUAGCUGGGUGUA